UUUGGUAUUCUGUAGGCGAAAAUCUACGGAGCCAUACCCGAGACACUUCUUCCGAAUGUCCGAAAGCAUUUUUGCUUUUAAGUAGUUCAAUUGGUUAGAACUCUAGUUAUCAAAACUGGAAGUACAGGUUCAAUUCCUGUCUUAAUAAUAUAAGCGAAAGUCUCGGGCGUUGCAAUGUAGUAGAUGCCUAAACCCAUUGAAAUAUAUGGGGUACGAGUUCCCGCAAGGUUCAUGUACAUGGUGCACAUUCGAUCAGUCCCGUACCGAAAGGUAUCGGCUGUUAAUGGUGGGGGAGCCAACCCUCGUAGCUGUAAAGGGCGACCAAGAGUCGCUAUACAGGCCACGUCUAAGGUGCCGAUCAAUUGCAACGUAGUUUCUUCGGAAACAAAAAAGGCAUUGGACUUAUACUUCAAUCUGGCAACAGAGUGAAGUGGAAACCACGGGAACGCUGAUGCAGCAACAUCGGCCAUAAUCUGUGUAAAGUUUGUCCACAAAAGACUGUAUUCUCAAG
rnacentral:sRNA from 1 species